UCGGGAAUUUUGGGCAAUGGGCGAAAGCCUGACCCAGCAACGCCGCGUGAAGGAUGAAGUAUUUCGGUAUGUAAACUUCGAAAGAAUAGGAAGAAUAAAUGACGGUACUAUUUAUAAGGUCCGGCUAACUACGUGCCAGCAGCCGCGGUAAUACGUAGGGACCAAGCGUUGUUCGGAUUUACUGGGCGUAAAGGGCGCGUAGGCGGCAAUUCAAGUCAUCUGUGAAAUCUCCGGGCUUAACUCGGAACGGUCAGAUGAUACUGCUUUGCUAGAGUGUAGAAGGGGCAAUCGGAAUUCUUGGUGUAGCGGUGAAAUGCGUAGAUAUCAAGAGGAACACCUGAGGUGAAGACGGGUUGCUGGGCUGACACUGACGCUGAGGCGCGAAAGCCAGGGGAGCAAACGGGAUUAGAUACCCAAGUAGUCCCUGAG
rnacentral:rRNA from 1 species